rnacentral:tRNA from 1 species
GGGGCUGUAGCUCAGUGGCAGAGCGCUUGCCUCUCAAGCAUGAGGCCAUAGGUUUGAUCCUCAGCACCA